rnacentral:rRNA from 1 species
GAUGAACGCUGGCGGCGUGCCUAAUACAUGCAAGUCGAGCGAACAGACGAGGAGCUUGCUCCUCUGACGUUAGCGGCGGACGGGUGAGUAACACGUGGAUAACCUACCUAUAAGACUGGGAUAACUUCGGGAAACCGGAGCUAAUACCGGAUAAUAUAUUGAACCGCAUGGUUCAAUAGUGAAAGACGGUUUUGCUGUCACUUAUAGAUGGAUCCGCGCCGCAUUAGCUAGUUGGUAAGGUAACGGCUUACCAAGGCGACGAUGCGUAGCCGACCUGAGAGGGUGAUCGGCCACACUGGAACUGAGACACGGUCCAGACUCCUACGGGAGGCAGCAGUAGGGAAUCUUCCGCAAUGGGCGAAAGCUUGUCGGAGCAACGCCGCGUGAGUGAUGAAGGUCUUCGGAUCGUAAAACUCUGUUAUUAGGGAAGAACAAAUGUGUAAGUAACUAUGCACGUCUUGACGGUACCUAAUCAGAAAGCCACGGCUAACUACGUG